UACGUAGGUGACAAGCGUUGUCCGGAUUUACUGGGCAUAAAGAGCGCGCAGGCGGUCGAUCAAGUCGAGUGUGAAAGCCCCCGGCUCAACUGGGGAGGGUCAUUCGAUACUGAUCGACUCGAAGGCAGGAGAGGGUAGUGGAAUUCCCGGUGUAGUGGUGAAAUGCGUAGAUAUCGGGAGGAACACCAGUGGCGAAGGCGACUACCUGGCCUGUUCUUGACGCUGAGGCGCGAAAGCUAGGGGAGCAAACGGG
rnacentral:rRNA from 1 species